rnacentral:rRNA from 1 species
AAGUCGCGGGGCAGCAUAGGGUUUAGCAAUAAAUUCGGAUGGCGACCGGCGCACGGGUGAGUAACACGUAUCCAACCUGCCCUUUACUCGGGGAUAGCCUUGCGAAAGCAAGAUUAAUACCCGAUGGCAUCAUCCGCCUGCAUGGGCGGCUGAUUAAAGGAGAAAUUUGGUAAAGGAUGGGGAUGCGUUCCAUUAGGCAGUAGGCGGGGUAACGGCCCACCUAACCGACGAUGGAUAGGGGUUCUGAGAGGAAGGUCCCCCACAUUGGAACUGAGACACGGUCCAAACUCC